UGGGUAACCUGCCUCAAAGAGGGGAAUAGCCUCCCGAAAGGGAGAUUAAUACCGCAUAAUAUGUUUAGGUCGCAUGACUUUAACAUCAAAGGAUUUUUCUUUUAAGAAAAUUCCACUUUGAGAUGGACCCCGCGGCGCAUUAGCUAGUUGGUGAGGUAACGGCUCACCAAGGCAACGAUGCGUAGCCGACCCGAGAGGGUGGAUCGGCCGACAGUUAGGUAACGUACGAGAACGACCGGUCCGACGACUCCGUACCGGGAGGCGACG
rnacentral:rRNA from 1 species